rnacentral:rRNA from 1 species
AGAGUUUGAUCCUGGCUCAGAAUCAACGCUGGCGGCGUGCCUAACACAUGCAAGUCGCACGAGAAAGGGUAGCAAUACCUGAGUACAGUGGCGCACGGGUGAGUAACACGUGAAUUAUCUACCUCCGAGUGGGGAAUAACUGAGAGAAAUCUUAGCUAAUACCGCAUAACACUUACGAGUCAAAGCAGCAAUGCGCUUGGAGAGGAGUUCGCGGCCGAUUAGUUAGUUGGCGGGGUAAUGGCCCACCAAGACGAUGAUCGGUAUCCGGCCUGAGAGGGCGCACGGACACACUGGAACUGAAACACGGUCCAGACUCCUACGGGAGGCAGCAGUGGGGAAUUUUGCGCAAUGGGGGAAACCCUGACGCAGCAACGCCGCGUGAGUGAGGAAGGCCUUCGGGUUGUAAAGCUCUUUCGCACGCGACGAUGAUGACGGUAGCGUGAGAAGAAGCCCCGGCUAACUUCGUGCCAGCAGCCGCGGUAAUACGAAGGGGGCGAGCGUUGUUCGGAUUUACUGGGCGUAAAGGGCGCGCAGGCGGCGAGUUUUGUCAGGCGUGAAAGCCCCGGGCUCAACCUGGGAACUGCGCUUGAAACGGGCUUGCUAGAGAUCGGGAGAGGAGAGUGGAAUUCCCAGUGUAGAGGUGAAAUUCGUAGAUAUUGGGAAGAACACCAGUGGCGAAGGCGGCUCUCUGGACCGACACUGACGCUGAGGCGCGAAAGCGUGGGGAGCAAACAGGAUUAGAUACCCUGGUAGUCCACGCCGUAAACGAUGUGUGCUAGACGUUGGGGAGCCUAGCUCUUCGGUGUCGCAGCUAACGCUUUAAGCACACCGCCUGGGGAGUACGGCCGCAAGGUUAAAACUCAAAGGAAUUGACGG